rnacentral:rRNA from 1 species
UACGUAGGGUGCGAGCGUUAAUCGGAAUUACUGGGCGUAAAGCGUGCGUAGGCGGUUCGUUAUGUCUGCUGUGAAAGCCCCGGGCUUAACCUGGGAAUGGCAGUGGAAACUGGCGGGCUUGAGUGUGGCAGGGGGGGGUGGAAUUCCGCGUGUAGCAGUGAAAUGCGUAGAGAUGCGGAGGAACACCGAUGGCGAAGGCGCUCUACUGGACCACAACUGACACUCAGGGACGAAAGCUAGGGGAGCGAAUGGG